UAGGGAAUUUUCCACAAUGGGCGAAAGCCUGAUGGAGCAACGCCGCGUGCAGGACGAAUGCCUUCGGGUUGUAAACUGCUUUUCUACGGGAAGACUUCGACGGUACCGUAGGAAUAAGGAUCGGCUAACUCCGUGCCAGCAGCCGCGGUCACACGGAGGAUCCAAGCGUUAUCCGGAAUUACUGGGCGUAAAGAGUUGCGUAGGUGGCAUAGUAAGCAGGCAGUGAAAUCGUGUGGCUCAACCAUACAUACAUUGUUUGAACUGCUAAGCUAGAGUAUGAGAGAGGUAGCUGGAAUUCCUAGUGUAGGAGUGAAAUCCGUAGAUAUUAGGAGGAACACCGAUGGCGUAGGCAGGCUACUGGCUCAUUACUGACACUAAGGCACGAAAGCGUGGGGAGCGAACGGG
rnacentral:rRNA from 1 species